UUACCUACGGGGGGCAGCAGUAGGGAAUCUUCGGCAAUGGACGAAAGUCUGACCGAGCAACGCCGCGUGAGUGAAGAAGGUUUUCGGAUCGUAAAACUCUGUUGUUAGAGAAGAAAGUGCGUGAGAGUAACUGUUCACGUUUCGACGGUAUCUAACCAGAAAGCCACGGCUAACUACGUGCCAGCAGCCGCGGUAAUACGUAGGUGGCAAGCGUUAUCCGGAUUUAUUGGGCGUAAAGGGAACGCAGGCGGUCUUUUAAGUCUGAUGUGAAAGCCUUCGGCUUAACCGGAGUAGUGCAUUGGAAA
rnacentral:rRNA from 1 species